rnacentral:rRNA from 1 species
UACGUAGGGUGCGAGCGUUGUCCGGAAUUAUUGGGCGUAAAGAGCUCGUAGGCGGUCUGUCGCGUCUGCUGUGAAAUCCCGGGGCUCAACUCCGGGCUUGCAGUGGAUACGGGCAGACUAGAGUUCGGUAGGGGAGACUGGAAUUCAUGGUGUAGCAGUGAAAUGCGUAGAGAUCAUGAGGAAGACCAGUGGCGAAGGCGGGUCUCUGGACAGUUCCUGACACUGAGGCACGAAGGCCAGGGGAGCAAACGGG